CUUUAUCAGGGAAACAUGUUGAGCAAUCCUUGUUAAGGAAUUUGCAGCCAUUGACACCAGAGAUAGCAGAUAGGGAAGAUUUACAGGCAGUGGAGUCCAUGACUGUUCAUGGAGCCCUUGGGUCAGGAGGUUCCCAGGCUUCAGUCUCUGAAGUGACGGAUAGACUUAAUGAGGCUUAUGAACAUUCAUCAACACCGCCAAAGUUCUGCCAUCUAUCAGUUGCUGUUUGCCCUCUUCCCAUACCUUUGCCAUUUCCUUCAAUAUUUGGGAAUCUGGUUGGCCAACGUGGUGAGCUCUUGAGCAACCCAAUCCCAGGUUCCUUAUCAAGGGGAUCGCUUGAUGUCAAGUCCAUCCCUAUGGCAGCUAGACUCCGUUCAAGCAGUGCUAUCUUGCCAUUUUUUGAGAACAGAUUGUUAAAUCUUCGUAGAUAUGGAAUUGAACGAGGAGCACCUGGGAUGGAGUUACUCAGGAGCUGGGGCUUUGAAAGGGAUGAAUUAGAAGACAUUGAAGAAUCACUAUGUAAAAUGGUUGCAACUCUUGAUGAUCGAUAUCAGCUUUCCUCAGACUCGGAUUAAGUUCUUUGAAAUUGUAAACUAUUCACUCAUCCUUCUUUUCCUCAGCUGAGAAUGCUACUUUGUUACACCCUCUUUUUCCCUCAAAGACAACUUUGUAAAGCUGGUUACUGUAGUAACUUUGUAUGGGAUUUAUUUGUAUGGGAUGGCUAUAGAUGCAGGAAAAAAAGAAAAAAAAAUUGUAUUGCAUUGGCUUGUAUCCAAUACUUAUCUUCUA
rnacentral:misc_RNA from 1 species